rnacentral:rRNA from 1 species
UACGUAGGGGGCUAGCGUUGUCCGGAAUCAUUGGGCGUAAAGCGCGUGUAGGCGGUCCGGUAAGUCCGCUGUGAAAGUCGGGGGCUCAACCCUCGAAUGCCGGUGGAUACUGUCGGGCUAGAGUACGGAAGAGGCGAGUGGAAUUCCUGGUGUAGCGGUGAAAUGCGCAGAUAUCAGGAGGAACACCAAUGGCGAAGGCAGCACUCUGGGACGGUACUGACGCUGAGGCGCGAAAGCGUGGGGAGCGAACAGG